UAUAUUGAAUGGCAUCAUUCGAUAUUGAAAACUCCGGUGGAUAGAGAUGGGCACGCGCAAGAUUAGAUAGUUGGUGAGGUAACGGCUCACCAAGUCUGCGAUCUUUAGGGGGCCUGAGAGGGUGAUCCCCCACACUGGUACUGAGACACGGACCAGACUCCUACGGGAGGCAGCAGUGAGGAAUAUUGGACAAUGGGUGAGAGCCUGAUCCAGCCAUCCCGCGUGAAGGACGACGGCCCUAUGGGUUGUAAACUUCUUUUGUAUAGGGAUAAACCUAGAUACGUGUAUCUAGCUGAAGGUACUAUACGAAUAAGCACCGGCUAACUCCGUGCCAGCAGCCGCGGUAAUACGGAGGGUGCAAGCGUUAUCCGGAUUUAUUGGGUUUAAAGGGUCCGUAGGCGGAUCUGUAAGUCAGUGGUGAAAUCUCACAGCUUAACUGUGAAACUGCCAUUGAUACUGCAGGUCUUGAGUGUUGUUGAAGUAGCUGGAAUAAGUAGUGUAGCGGUGAAAUGCAUAGAUAUUACUUAGAACACCAAUUGCGAAGGCAGGUUACUAAGCAACAACUGACGCUGAUGGACGAAAGCGUGGGGAGCGAACAGGAUUAGAUACCCUGGUAGUCCACGCCGUAAACGAUGCUAACUCGUUUUUGGGAUUUAGGUUUCAGAGACUAAGCGAAAGUGAUAAGUUAGCCACCUGGGGAGUACGUUCGCAAGAAUGAAACUCAAAGGAAUUGACGGGGGCCCGCACAAGCGGUGGAUUAUGUGGUUUAAUUCGAUGAUACGCGAGGAACCUUACCAAGGCUUAAAUGGGAAAUGACAGGUUUAGAAAUAGACUUUUCUUCGGACAUUUUUCAAGGUGCUGCAUGGUUGUCGUCAGCUCGUGCCGUGAGGUGUUAGGUUAAGUCCUGCAACGAGCGCAACCCCUGUCACUAGUUGCCAUCAUUAAGUUGGGGACUCUAGUGAGACUGCCUACGCAAGUAGAGAGGAAGGUGGGGAUGACGUCAAAUCAUCACGGCCCUUACGCCUUGGGCCACACACGUAAUACAAUGGCCAGUACAGAGGGCAGCUACACAGCGAUGUGAUGCAAAUCUCGAAAGCUGGUCUCAGUUCGGAUUGGAGUCUGCAA
rnacentral:rRNA from 1 species